rnacentral:rRNA from 1 species
ACCAGAUAAGACAGCUGAAUGAUAGUCGGGCUGAAGACUCUACUUGACUAGCUGAGAGGAGGUGCAUGGCCGUCGUCAGUUCGUACUGUGAAGCAUCCUGUUAAGUCAGGCAACGAGCGAGACCACGCCAACAGUUGCCAGCUCGUCCUCCGGGAUGGUGGGGACACUGUUGGGACGCCUCUGCUAAAGAGGAGGAAGGAAUGGGCAACGGUAGGUCAGCAUGCCCGAAUUAUCUGGGCUACACGCGGGCUACAAUGGUCAGGACAAUGGGUAUCAACACCGAAAGGUGAAGGCAAUCUCCUAAACCUGUCCUUAGUUUGGAUUGUGGGCUGCAACUCGCCCACAUGAAGCUGGAAUCUGUAGUAAUCGCGUCUCAACAUGGCGCGGUGAAUAUGUCCCUGCUCCUU